rnacentral:rRNA from 1 species
UACGAAGGGGGCUAGCGUUGCUCGGAAUCACUGGGCGUAAAGGGUGCGUAGGCGGGUCUUUAAGUCAGGGGUGAAAUCCUGGAGCUCAACUCCAGAACUGCCUUUGAUACUGAGGAUCUUGAGUUCGGGAGAGGUGAGUGGAACUGCGAGUGUAGAUGUGAAAUUCGUAGAUAUUCGCAAGAACACCAGUGGCGAAGGCGGCUCACUGGCCCGAUACUGACGCUGAGGCACGAAAGCGUGGGGAGCAAACAGG